GACGAACGCUGGCGGCGUGCUUAACACAUGCAAGUCGAACGGAAAGGCCCUGCUUUUGUGGGGUGCUCGAGUGACGAACGGGUGAGUAACACGUGAGUAACCUGCCCUUGACUUUGGGAUAACUUCAGGAAACUGGGGCUAAUACCGGAUAGGAGCUCCUGCUGCAUGGUGGGGGUUGGAAAGUUUCGGCGGUUGGGGAUGGACUCGCGGCUUAUCAGCUUGUUGGUGGGGUAGUGGCUUACCAAGGCUUUGACGGGUAGCCGGCCUGAGAGGGUGACCGGCCACAUUGGGACUGAGAUACGGCCCAGACUCCUACGGGAGGCAGCAGUGGGGAAUAUUGCACAAUGGGCGGAAGCCUGAUGCAGCAACGCCGCGUGCGGGAUGACGGCCUUCGGGUCGUAAACCGCUUUCGCCUGUGACGAAGCGUGAGUGACGGUAAUGGGUAAAGAAGCACCGGCUAACUACGUG
rnacentral:rRNA from 1 species